AAGUCGUAACAAGGUCUCCGUUGGUGAACCAGCGGAGGGAUCAUUACCGAGUACUAUAACUCAUAACCCUUUGUGAACCUUCAUACCUGUUGCUUCGGCGGCGCGCCUCUCGGGGCGUGCCCGCCGGCAUUGUCAGAAUCUCUGUUCGAACCCGACGAUACUUCUGAGUGUUCUAAGCGAACUGUUAAAA
rnacentral:misc_RNA from 1 species